AACGUAGGUUCCGAGCGUUAUCCGGAUUUACUGGGCGUAAAGCGCGUUCAGGCGGUUUGGCAAGUCGGGCAUGAAAUCUCUCGGCUCAACCGGGAGAGGUUGUCCGAUACUGCUGGACUUGAGGGCAGUAGAGGGUGGUGGAAUUCCGGGUGUAGUGGUGAAAUUCGUAGAUAUCAGGAGGAACACCGGUGGCGAAGGCGGGUCUCUGGGCCGAUACUGACGCUGAGGAGCGAAAGCGUGGGGAGCGAACAGG
rnacentral:rRNA from 1 species